rnacentral:lncRNA from 1 species
AUUUCUCUUUUCAUUUUCUUCUUGUAUAUUGAUCCUUUUUAACUAUCUUGAUAUAUAUCAUGGGUGUUUUUACUUUCAACGAUGAACAUGUCUCAACCGUGGCUCCAGCUAAACUCUACAAAGCUCUUGCAAAAGAUGCUGAUGAAAUAGUCCCAAAGGUGAUUUCUGCUGCCCAAAGUGUUGAAAUUGUUGAAGGAAAUGGUGGACCUGGCACCAUCAAAAAGUUAUCCAUGUCUGAAGGUAAUUCAUUAAGAGCAUUUACUAUAUCCCUGUCAAAAAAAUACAACUUUAUUAAUUAGUAAUUCAAUAGACAUGUUAAGAAAUCAUAUACUCACUUUUAUUUUUGAAUUAGAUUUUGAGUGUUGAAGGAGACCAAUGAUAAUACAUAAACUGAGUCUAUAUAUAAAUAAUAAGCUUCAAGAAACAACUAAUUUCCAUGGAAAAAGAAUAUAUAAGAUACUUCAUGCAAGAUUCAAGAGAACCACUAAACUGGAGACAGGGCCGGCCUAAGGACCAAACAACCUAAACAAGGGUUUUAGGCUUCAAAACUUUUGGUAAAAAAAAAGGUCUUUAAAAAAUUAAUUUGGUCAUAAGUAUAUUAUAUGACAGAUAAAUUACAGACAUUUGAAUAGCUUAACUGAUCAAAAAGGUUUUAAUUACUCAUGGUCAUGAAUUCAAAUUUUGGUCUCCACGCAAUUGCUUUUAUAUAAAUAUUCUAUUAAAAAAAUAAUUUCAAAGGCCACAUUAAAUUUUUUGAUUUAAGCCUCUUAAUCUGUUGGGUCGGCCAUGGCAGGAGAUCCAACUAUUUGUAUAAACUACAGUCGUUGAAAUGUAACUAUUGUGAGAGUGUUGCUUGUUUUCAUUAUAUAUAGUAGUUAUAUAUUCAAAUGAAAUGAAUGAUCAAAUUAACACUAAAAUUUAGUUAAAAUCAUUUCAAAUAUCAAUAUAUUAUUGUCAAGAUUAAAUUAUGUAAUUUUAUAUGAUUUCAACCUAAUGGUAAAGAGUGGUUAUAAUAUAUCCAGAUUAAUUGUAAAUAGACUCGUAUUCAAUAAUUAUAGUAAUUAAGAUCAACUUUUUAAUCAGCCCAAUAAAAUGUGUGGUCUACAACUAUAAGAUUCACACAAUAUUAUAGUAAAAUAGACUUAACAAUCAAGUGAUUAAAUAUAUCCAGUUACAUUAGAAUUGAUCUAUGACAAAAACAAUUUUUAGUCGAACUUUACUUUCAUUUUGAGGGAACCAACUUAUAUAAAUUAUGAUGGUUGUAUUGUAGGUGGCAAAACCGACUAUGUGCUACACAAAUUAGAAGCAAUGGAUGAAGCAAACUUGGGAUACAACUAUAGCAUUGUAGGAGGAACAGGGUUGGAUGAAAGUUUAGAAAAAGUUGAAUUCGAGACAAGUAUUGUGGCUGGCUCUGAUGGUGGAUCCAUUGUUAAGAUUUCAGUGAAAUACCACACCAAAGGUGAUGCAACUCUAUCUGAUGCAGUGCGUGAUGAAACUAAGACCAAAGGAACUGGACUUAUCAAGGCCAUUGAGGGAUACGUUUUGGCAAACCCUAAUUAUUAAGUAAAAUGUAUACUUGGUUGUGUUGUGUCAUACCAAUAAUAAUUGAAGUUUAUGAUAUGGUUGUUUGAUUUAUACAUCACGAUUUCUAGCUUAUACAUGUGUGUGGGCUUUGUUGUUUAAUUACAAAAAUCUAUGUGUUGAUGUUGAGGUUUUGUACCAUCUAUAAUUCUGUAAUAAAUAAUGAAGAAUUUUCUAGCACUUUUCAUUCGGUAUUUUAACUUUAUAUGCCUUGACCAUUAUUGGUACACCAAUUUCCUUUCCUCUUGUUAUCCUUUUUUUUUCUUUCUUUGGAUUUAUUUUUGACUUGUAACACAUAAAAACUCAACUCAUCACUAGCAUGCUUUGAAUUUUACUAUGGCUGAGAAAAAGUAAAAACAUAAUGUGAGUAUGAUAGAGAAAGUUGUCAUAUAAUGGUUAUAUAAAUAUUAUUUCUCUAUCAUAAAUGUAAAGUGGAAGAUAUUGAAUUGAGAGUGAUGAAAUUUGUAUGGGUCUUGUUAACGAGUGCCCCCGAGGGCACUCUUUAAGCAUACUAAAUUAGAAAAUUAUUCUUUAAAAAAUUCAAAUAAUUCAAUUUCCAAUGCAUUGAAUACAUAACUUUUCAUAAAAAGUUACUAUUUAAGACCCUUAAAGAGUGUCCCCAGGGCACUAGUUAACAUUUCUGAAUUAUAGUAUUAAUUAAGAUGUAUAAUUGAAAAAAGAUAGUUAAUUAAUAUUAUAUUAAAAAGUGAAAUUGAUCAUUCAUUUUAGAUCUUUCUUCUUUUUUACAAAUAAAUUACUUAUUGUGGAACAUGAGGAGUAUCAUUUAUGCUCAAACUAAUCAUGCAAACUCUAAUAUAUAUAAACAAUUAUAAAUCAAAUAGACUUCAAUUUGAUAUUCCUUGCACUCGAAUAAUUUGGUAAGAGACAAAUUAAAUAAAGGAAUUUAAGUUUUUAUAAAUAAUCAACAUGUUAUAAGAUACAAUUGUUUGAAAAAGAAGAAUGGUGGUUUGCGGGUUAGGGUCUCUUAGUUAAUCAUCUAUUUCUGUUUCAUGUUUUUUUUUUUAAUAAUUUAUUUCUGUUUCAUGUUAUUUACCAACUUUAUAUUAGUUUUUUUGUAACUUUUUUAGUACAACUUGUGCUGAAAAGAUUUUGGUUAAUGAUAUUCUAUUUUGACAUGCUAAAAAAAAUGAUGAAUGUGAACCCGUUAAAUAAGUAAACGAUAUAGUACAUAGGUUGCAUAUUUUUAAACUUUGCCGUCUUUGAAUUGAAUUCUUGAUGCUUUUGUCCAAGUCAAAUUUCGAUUUUUAAUUCCUUUGCCCAUCUCUUCAUCGGCCAAAACUUCUGAGCUAAUAAGUCAUUGAUCUAUAUCUAUAUAUCUAUCUAAAGAAAAGUCAUUGAGUUGAAAAUAUCAUUUUGAAGAUAUGCUCUACAAUUUAUGGUUUUGAAAAAUAAUACACGCUCUCUAAUAUGGACAGCUUUGUUUUACACACUUAUUAAUCCUACUUAUUAAAGGUGCUACUAGCUAGUAACAGAUGGGAAACUUUUUGUUUCAAGUUUACCAAAUUUAUUUUUGGUGAUAACAUUUCUUGGAACAUAAAGAUGAGAAUUUUAUUCUAAAAUAUUUAGAAAAAAGAUGUUUGCUUAACAUUAUAGUAUUCUCAGAAACCAUAAAAAUAAGGAUUAUAAUAGAUAAUUACACAUGAAUCUAUUCCCAUGUUCAUGGGAACUUUAUUCCCACUAGUUUCUGUGAGAAAUUUUUUCCAUUCCCAUAAACAUUUUAUACCUGCGAAUAAAAUUUAAUAAAUUUGUAACAAACAUAGACAUGCAUAUGUCUAUUGUUUUAUUCCCAAAAAUCUACAUAGAUAACUUGAAAUAAACGUACCCUUAAAUUUAAUUAUUUACUGAAAAGAAAAAUGUGAUAAGGAAUCUGUUUCUACACCUCCAGGAAACACUAUCUCUUUUUCUUUUACGGAUCAAAGCUACAUUAUUUAGUUCCGUAAAUACAAUUUGAAUGGUAAAAAAUUUAAAGAUAUUUGAUUAAUUGGAGUGCGAGUUUGAAUAUAUAAUUCUUCACUUUAAAUGUUUUAAAGUAGAAUUGAUUUUUUUUGUAAAAUUAAUUCUACUCAAAGCUAAAUGUCGAGGCACGAAUAUUGUUCAAUUCACUUUUACUUAAAUAUAAUAAAACAUAUAUUAUUUUACAUUUAAUCAGAAUUAACUGUACAAAAUUAAUUCAUUUAGAAUCAAAUUUUUGUUGUGUAGCAUAAACAAACACACACUAAAUUACGUAGUUUGAUUUCUUUAUUAAAAAAAAGAAAGAGUAAAAUGAUUUCAUAUUUUGUCUUCAUUCCCAUUAGUUUGUUAUUGUCUUUGUAAUAAAAAAAUUAAAAAAAAUAUUUUUUUUCACUACGUAAAAACUUCACGUAGAUCUUUUUAUCAUUAAUUAAUUCGUGCGUGGUUAUGUACGACUGAGUCUCCUUAUUUUAGGAUAACGACUUCAAAUCUUUCAUACAUCAAUCUUCACCAAACUUUAACGGUGUGUUUGGAUGUAAGAUGAAAAUGAAAAGUGAUAAACAGAUGAGAAAGAGUGUGAGAAGAGAGAAAGCGAUAAGCAAUACAAUAGAUUUGUAGCAUUGAUUAGUAUAAAAAUGAGAAGAGAAAUAUAAAAAAAAAAAACAGAUAUUUUAUUCUUUGAAAAAGACAAAAACAACCUCCAUUAAAAAUAAAAUAGUAAAAUAUCGCUACUAUAUUAUGCUAUCUAAAGUUUGUCAUAAAAAUUAUCCUAUAUUAUAAUUUAUUAGUAUAAUAAUAAAUCUCAUGAAAUAAAGUGAAAAAUUAUUUACUUUUUCAUUGUGCUGUAAAAAAGUACUCCAUGUUAAUCAAUGUAUAAAGCAUUUAAAAGAAAGGGGCAUAAUUGGAAAUAUGCAAUAAAUAGGUUGCUCUAUUGGACUUUCAGGAUUGAAAAAACUGUCGGUACCAAAAAUUAAUUCGAACUUGAAUUAUUUCUUUUAACGCAACUUUAGAUGGCUCCUUGUGACUUUAAUUAAUAAUAUCAAACAUUUAUCUUGUAAAACAAGGUAGGACCUACCAAUAUGUCACUUAGUCAUGGAUUUCUAGACUAAUUCACAUUUUUAGAAUCGAAUUCAAGAUUGUCGACAUCACAAAGAGAAUUGACCCAAUAAAUAAAUAUCAAAAUACUUGAGCUAAAUAAAUAAGUGAGAUUUUGCAAACAAGGUAGGUCCUACCAAAGUUCUAUAAAUAGUAACCCUCAAUGUGUUAUAAACCGCAUCACAAACUAAAAUAGUAGCAUUAUUCAUAUUAUACAUUAAUUUCUCCUUUCAUUUACUUAUUGCAUAUUGAUCCUUUUUAUCUUGAUAUAUAUCAUGGGUUCUUUUGUUUUCAUUGAUGAACAUGUCUCAACUGUGGCUCCAGCUAAACUUUACAAAGCACUUGCAAAAGAUGCUGAUGAAAUCAUCCCAAAGGUGAUUCCAGCUGCUCAGAGUGUUGAAAUUGUUGAAGGAAAUGGAGGACCUGGCACCAUUAAGAAGUUAUCCAUGUCUGAAGGUAAUUGAUUAAGAUUAUAUAACAUUUACACAGUUGAAUUUUUGGGACUAGAGUUGAUUGUUGGUAUAUUGAAAUGAGAUUCAACAAUCAAGUAAUUAACGAUAUCCAGUUACGUUCAGAUUGAUCAAUGACUUAAACAAUUUUUAGUCAAACUUUAUUUAAAUUUGAGGGAACAAAACUUAUAUAAAUUAUGAUGGUUUAAUUGUAGGUGGUAAAACCGACUUUGUGCUACACAAAUUAGAAGCAAUGGAUGAGGCAAACUUGGGAUACAACUAUAGCAUAGUAGGAGGAACAGGAUUGGAUGAAAGUUUAGAGAAAGUUGAAUUUGAGACAAAUAUUGUGGCUGGAUCUGAUGGUGGAUCCAUUGUUAAGAUUUCAGUGAAAUAUCACACCAAAGGUGAUGCAGUUCUAUCUGAAGCUGUACGUGAGGAAACUAAGGCCAAAGGAACUGGACUUAUCAAGGCCAUUGAGGGUUAUGUUUUGGCAAACCCUAAUUACUAGCAAAUUAAACAUUUGCUUUAAUAAUAAUUAAAGACUAUGAUAUGGUUGAAUGUGUGUUGGAUAUUUUGAGGUUUGAGUGUUGUUUUGAGUGUUUAAAAACAAAAACCAAUGUUGUGUUGGUGAUGAGGUUUUGCACCAUCUGUAUUAUGUAAUAAAUAAUGCAAAAGAAUUUUCUAGCACUUUCCGUUAUUUUUUUAGAGGAAUAGCACUUUACAUCAUUUUAAUUUAAUUUAGGAUAACAUCAAACUAAUAGUGCAUGUGGUUUUCAAUUGGUUGAAUUUUAAACUAACACUGUCUACGGUUCGAUUAUUUAAACAGUUUGGUUGAGUUUUGUCUUGAAUUGAUUUGAGCAAAUUAAAGCAAUUGAAUCAUGUUUUGAAAGUCUCAUCAUCUUGUCCAAUAUGAUUUUUAAAACAAAACCUACUGGUUUGAUAAACCGUUAAAAGGGAAUUAGAAUACAUCGAAACAACACAAAUUUUUAUGAUACUAAAAUUAAAGAAGAUAAAAUUGUGAAUACCUAUAAAAGUCUCACAACACCCUAAUUUCUUUUUUCUUUUUUAAAACACAUGUAAGUUAAUAACAUAAAAGGAUAAAAAUACCUAUAAAUACGACAAAUAAAGCAACUAAAAUACUAUAUGCAGAGCCUACCCAACAUUUUGGUAGGCCUAAAGUGAAUUUUUUAUUGAUGCUUUUUAAAGUAAAAUAUUAAACUUUGUUGAACCCAAGGUUUGAACCAAAGAUGCAGAGGAUUUGAGACCUCUUCUUGACGAACUAAAGUUAUGCAAGCAUUUAUAAUUAUUUUAUCAUAUUAUGUAUUUAUAUCUAAAGUUGAUAUGGUCAUUGCGUAUCCACGAGGAUUUGAGGCCUCUUUGUUGCUGCCUACCCACGAGGUUUAAUUUGCAAAAUCAUGGAGUCCAUUGUCUGUCACUUGUGUGGUUUGUAAUAAUGAUUUGAAAGAUCAAAUGCACAUGUUUAUGCACUGUAAUUUUGCUACUGAUUGUUGGAAAGAAGUAAAUCUUUGGGCAAGAUAAAGUCAUACAUAACGUCAAAUGAUAGUUUUUCAUCCAUUAUCUUUGAUAUUCUUGUAGCUAUUUAUUGAGUGUUUGGCAUGCACGUAAUGCUUGUUUAUGGGAGGAAAAACUUGUCGAUGCACAUACAUCUUGCGUCCUGGAAUUAGAUACAGUUCGAGAUUACGUGUGGUGUCAUCGUCUCAACGAUGUUGUGCAGUCUGCUACUCCAACUUAGUCCAAACUGCAGGCAGAUUGGAUCAAGUCUUACAUCGAUUGUGUUCUUUUUGAAGCUGAUGGAAAAUUUAGUGUUGGUAUCUGUUUUCGAGACCGCCUUAUCCAAGAACUAUUCCAUCCUAUAGCAAGAAGCUUAGAUAUUAUCUUAUAAAGCACAUUACAUAAUGAAAUUACCCUCCAUUCCUUCAUACUAGUUGGUUUUGUCACAUUUAGGAAUAAGGCAAAUAUUAUUAUCAUUCAAUUAAUGUGCUCGGAAAAUAACCUAUAUAUAACCACAUAUUCACAACUUCAAAAAUUUCAUCACUACAAAGAUUCCAAAACCUUGAAAAAAAAAACCCGGAUUAAAACCAUGAAGACUCGAUGACUUAUUUGAAUGCAUUUGAAAUAACGUAAGUUUCAGCUCCUCUUUAGUAAACGGUGCUAAAAUAAGGUUGUUGUUUGCAUCGGUUAUCUUUGGUUGAAGGUGACAACUAGGCUACCCAUGAAAGAAUGAUGGGUAAUUUACCCUAACCAAUACACAUUAGCCACAUAAGCACAUAUUCAUGAACUAUCUUGACCCCACAAAUAAAUUGUUCAUUUUCAUUGGUUGGUAGGUAAAUUACCCACCAUUCUUCAAAAGUAAUUUAAAAAGAACCUUGAUGGAAUCAUACCAAUCAUUAAAAUUUUCAAUAUCACAAUCAUUUACCGCCUCCUUAAACCCAAGAUAAAUCCAAUUAGGAUGGGAAUGUUGGCCUCGAAUAUUCUCUUGAGAUAAAAUAUCAUUAAAAUUUCUUAUGAUACACCAAGGCAUAUGAGACAUGUCCCUCAACUCUCUGAGACAUGUCCCUCAACUCUCUGAGCAUAUUCCAAGAAUCUCUUCUUCGACCUCCUUUUGGGUAACCAUAAAAAUCAGUUAACAUUGAUUCUCUUUUUAUUGUAUCUUCCACAAUUAAAUUGAUAUUGUUUAUAGAGUAAUUAAGAAUUUUACACAAGCUAUUAACUUUUCAUAUCACUGCUAUCUAGGGGUGGGAUUAGGUCGAGUCGGGCCAAACUUUACUUAAAUAGGUCAGAUCUAAUUUAAAAAGUUAAAGCCUAGGCGACCUAUUAGCUUGUCAAAGACUUUAUUUUAAGUCUAAGCUUUUUAAAAGUCUAGCCUAAUAUUGUCAAAAAGCCUAGUUUAUGCUAAGAAUUUUAAAUAGAAUAUCUGUUCUAUUUAUAAAAAGGCUAAUAAACAUAUAUUUCUUAGAAGAUUAAUAUGCCAAUAAAAUUUUGUAGAGCUUGUAUAUCAAUUUUGUUUCACUCUGUAAGCAUAUAUUGCAUGUAAAUCGAAUAUAAUUUGGUAAGGCCUCUACAUCAAUUGUAUAGAGGCUAUUAGCCAUAUAUGGGCCGAAAAUUUAUUAAUACAAUGGAGGAGUAUAUAUAUAUAUAUAUAUAUAUAUAUAUAUAUAUAUAUAUGAGGAGGGAUAUUUUGACUUCAAGAGUAAGUUUAUAGACUUAUUCCAAAUCUCCACCUUUCAUCUUAUUUUAAUCUAAUAGUUUAAAUGUGAGUUUUAAUUGUUAAUCAUGUGACCAUUUUUUUGGAUCUCAUUCUUAUAAAUAUUUUCUCCAUUUAAUCUCCCUUAUUAAUUAAUGUAAUAAAUACCUCCCCAAUUUUAUUUUAUUUUUUGGCGCACCUUUGCCAAUUCAAAAAGUGUUUUUUAAUCUUUUUCUCCAACAUUAGAGCAAGGUUGCAGUUUGAAAUAUAAAUUAAAAUGUAAGCUUUCCACUCUCACCUCUUGAACCUAUGGAUGAGAAGAUUUUUUUUAUUGAAAUGUAAAUCAAAAAGGAAAGAAAUGAGAUUGAGAGCCAUCAUGUAGAAUUGAGGUUGGAGUGAAACGGAGAGCCAUCACUCUAUAUCCUAUUGUGAUUUAUAUGAUUAUCCAAUCAAAGAAAUUGGGUGUAUACAAAAUCAAUUGGGUGAGUUAGGGUACAAAGCAUUAGGAGGAAAUUUUGUUGUUUUCUGAGAGUUAAAAUAAAUAAAAAAGUAAUUAAGGGAUAAAUGAAAUUUGUUUUAUGAGAAUAAAAUAAAAAAACUUAAAAGUGUGUUUAUGAGAGAAAGGAAAUUUGAUUUAUGAGAAUUAAUUAAGGGAGAAUAAUUGGAGAAGGUAUUUAGAUCCACAAAGAUGGUCAUAUGAUUAACAAUUAAAACCCACAUUUAAGCCAUUAGAUUAAAAUAAGAUGAAAGGUGGAGAUUUGGAGUAAGUCUAUAAACUUACUCUUGGAGUCAAAAUAUCCUCUCUCUCUCUCUCUCUCUCUCUCUCUCUCUCUCUCUCUCUCUCUCUCUCUCUCUCUCUGUAUAUAUAUAUAUAUAUGAGAUAUGAGAUAGAAUCCGUUGACACUUUAUAUUGACACCAAAUCAUAUCCCUUGAUUUCAUUUGAUCCAAUAGCUCCUAUUAAUUCACUUAACCUUGUACCUAUGUGUGAUGCACUGAACCACACCGUCGUCUUCAUUCUCACGUUAUACGUACGCCGUCUGCUAUCUGCAGUUUUCGUUCAUCUCUUCUCCCCUUGCACACCUUCACAAAUGCUUCAUCUAUAUUAUGUGUUGCUCCUAUCGAAAUUAAAACCCACUAUUCAAUUAGUGGUGGAUAUGAGUUAAAACCUUGUACGCUAAUUCUUCAAAUGGAUCCUCUAAGAUUAAUUCCUCAAAUUUUUUGAUUAGAUUUAUGAAAUCAAUAAUAAUUGGAUGACGUUAGAAAACCGAUGGACAUUAUUUAUUGAUUUGCUUCAAUUUGUGCAAUUUUAGGUGAGAAAAAGAAAUUGCAUAUCAGAAUGCAUAAUAUAAAAUAAAAAAUUGUGGGUUUGGUAAAAUGAAAAACUAUGUAAAUUAAAAUGAAAACCAAGAGUUGUUUCCUUUGUUUGGGUAUGGACAAGGAAGUAGCCAAGAUACAAGAGACAACAUUUUUCCAUUGUUGUUCCUGUAUACUUUGUUCAGCAAGAUUGAAAAGGAACAAAAAGAAAAUAAGAGUGCACAUUACAGUGAAAAAGGCCUAUGUUAGUUGAUUUAGUAAAUAAUUAUAAGCCUGUUACAGUGAAAAAGGCCUAUGUAAGUUGAUUUACUUUUUUUAUUCUGAUCUAUUUAAAUUAAUGGUUUUUUUAAAAAGCUUGAAUCUGACUUAUUUACUAAACAAGCUAAACCGGUCUGGGUUUUAAGUAAGUCGAGUUAUAAGCCCCUAACAAACGGUCUGGCUUAUUUUAGGAUUUAGGGUUUACCCAAAUGAUCCCUCCACUUCUCCCUUCAACAUAUAUAGCACAACAAGAAUCAAAACCAAACCUAACUCGUAAGAAUUCUAUAGUCAUUGCUUUUGCCAACGUCUCGUACAAAUAAAGAAUAUCAAGAUUUUAUUUUUGGUUAAUAAAAAGUAGUAAUGCUAAAGGAAGAGACAACCCCAAAAAAAUUAGCUCUAAUAUUUAAUGUAAUACUACUAUGCAUGUAGUAGGAAUAAAUGGGAAACGUAUGCUCUUUUUUUUUUUUUUUGUUACCUGGGAAACGUAUGUUUGAUUGUUUAUUGAAUAGUAGAAAAUUGUUGUAAAGGAAUUCUUUUUUCGACGUUAUAAAGGACUCUCUUUAUGCAUCUCCAAUAAACACUAUCUAUACUUUGUAAAAAGAAUACAAAAAUAAAUGUGAGCAUUGAUAGGGAUAUGAUAGCAUCUAGGAAUCGGGUUCCACCUUAGUUUCUUCUCCUUUAUCCAUUACUAACAUAUGAUUUAUGGUCAAUUUUCAACCUCAAAGAGCAUUCCUUUAAUAAAUAGUUUCCCGUUUUUUUUUUUAUUAUUUAAAUAAUCGAUUUUCACAUCUAUUUAGUUUAUUUCUCUAAUUUUUUCAUCAUCUUAGUGCGACGUUAUUUUGUUUGUCGUCUUUGUGUGACAUUGUUUAUCUUUAUUGUCUUGUUUAGAUGUUUGUUUCAUUCAUAUUGUCAUAUCAAGUUUGAUGCAGUGCAUGUUCAAUCAAUGAUUUAAAAAUUGUCAACGUUGUUGUGAGUUUGUUCGUGGAUUCAUCAAUUUUGUUUUUAGCAAAUUCAUAUUGUAUCGGUGUACUCUAUCAAUUUGAAUGAAUAAUAUCAUUUAUUACUAAAAAAAAGUACCGGGUACAAACUUUAAAUUUUCCGUUUAGUUAUCUUAAAGUGAAUUUUUAGCCACUAAAUUAUUUUAUUAAAAAAAAUCACUAUAUAUAAUGAUUAAAAUUAUAAGCGUAAUUUCAGGAGUGAACAUAGACCUUUAUUCAAAAGGGAAUGAACAUAGACGUAUAAUUAAAGGAGAACGAUAUUUCAUUGUCAUUAAUUUGUUUAUUGUCACUACGUGAAUAUUUUCUAAUUAUUUCGUGGGUGACUGCGACUGAGUCUAUUCAACAAAAAACAAAAAUCUACCGACUAAGUCUUCUUAUAAUUCCAAGACAUCGACUUUGAAUUUUUGAUACAACAAUGACCCAAUCUCACCCAAUCUUAAGAGUACUAUCAUAAUUCAUACAAAAUAGGUCAUAUUUUUCGGUCCUUAAAUAGGUCAUAUUAUAUUUUUCGGUCCUUAAAAAAAAUUGAUAUUUGAUUUUUUAAAAUUAAAUUAACAAGGGUAAAAUUGAGAUAAAAAGUGAUAAACUGUAAGUUAUAAGAUAUUUGAAGCAGCUUAAGAAAAAUGGUAUAAGCUCGAAAAAGAAAGUUAUAACUCGUGAGAAAACUUGUUUGCUAAAAAAAUAAAAAAUAAACUCGUGAGAAAAAAAAUUGUUAACAGACAUGUUUUAUCUUAGUCAUAUGAGAUCAUAAAUUAUAAAUUAUUUGUUAUAAGUGACAUUAACCCAAGAACAAUUUCGUAAUAGUGUAUAUAAAAUAAAAUCAUUAAUUAAUAUGGUAAUUCAGAAUAUUUUGAUUGAUUUUGGAUGUAAAACUGUUUUGGACCGUUAAUCUACCACUAUUAAACUCUUAAUACAUUACCAAUUUUUGUUAAUAUGCAAUUGCAUAAUAAAUUAUUUGUGAUUAAGAUAUCAACUGUUAAUUUCUCAAUUUACUGAUUACACGCUUUAGAAGAAUAAGUAAAUUAGCAUUUUAGUUCUCGGAAUAAUAAAGGACAAAUUAUUUAUUCACUAAAAUUUGUGAAAUAAUAAUUAAUCAAUUAAAUAAAAUAAUACUAUCAAUUAAUUCAGUUCCUCAUAUCUUAUGAAAAAUAAAUCAUCAACAUUUAUAAAAGAUUUGCAUGUUGACUUUUUUAAUUUGUAAAGUUCUAACAUAAAUAACGUGGUAAUUUGAAGUUCGAUAUAAUGUUAAGUGAAGUAUGAUAAAUGAUUGUUUUAAGUCAUGAUUCGAACUCAGUUUUUUUCGAACAAUUUAUCUUAAACAAAAGUUAAGUGAGCACUUCAGCUCAACCGCUCGACUGAAUUAUAUAUUAAUUUAUGUUUUUUAUACAAAAAUAAACGAUAUUCAUUCAUUUAAAUUGAUAUAGUACAUCGAUACAAUACGAAUUUAAAAUUGCUAAAAACAAAAAAGGAUGAAUCUACGAACAAACUCAGAGUAUCCAUGUUAAUAGCAUAAAACGGUAGAGUAUAUAUGCCUACAAAUAUACCUAUCAAGCCACUGAAAUACUCAUGUUUCGGAUCUGCAACGUUGACAAUGCAAAAGUCAUUGAUUGAAUCUGCAUUUGAUCAAAGCUAAUCUUUCAACCUGAAUCAAAUAAAAACCGCAUUAAGACAUGAAUAAAAAACACACCGCACAAAGACGAGAAAUCAAAAUAAAUAAAGUUGUGCUAGAUGACGAAUUCACAAAACCAACAAAAGAAAGGUGAAAAUAUGUGAAAAAUUACUUAUUUAACUAAAAGAGAAAGAGAAACAAUUCAUAGGGGUGAUUUCGUGUCAAAAUUGAUAGUAAGUCACACCUUUUUGGUAGAUGAAGAAGAAAAAAAGUCGUGUGACUAGGGUUUAGGAAAGGAAAAGUGAGAGAAUUUCUACCUUAUAUAAUUGAUUUUUUUAUGUUUUAAAACCAAGACAUUUUCUACACGCGACUACGACAACUAAUCUCUCAAUGUAAACGAAAUUCAUCGUAGAAGUUGUCAUCUCUCAAUAUAUAUUAUCUAUACACAAUGAUCAACAGAUUAAAAUAAUGACCACAUAGCCGAGAGACUCAAAUAAAUAUUCAUCAAUUUUGUUACACCAUAUUGGUAUAUAACUUUCAACUAUGUGGUGUUAAAGUCUGAAAACACGACUAAUUAACUAAUACACUUUAAAGUACUAAAGUAUUACUAUUUAACGAAUUUUAGGACCCACCAUGACACCAUUGCAAUAAUUUCAAUUGGAAAAAUAUUUAGCACCGUUUGGUCAGACUUUUUUCGGUCUAAAAAUUAUUUUAAAACAAAGUUAAAAUAAAACUCUUUAAGGAAAAAGUUAAAGUUGUUUGGUUUCUUUAUUUUUUUUAGUUUUUUUUUGAACAAGCCAAAAUGGAAUUAUAUAAACAAAAAGGCAGUCCCAAACGCACAAGGUGUGCCCUAGCGACUACCUCCAAAACCAAGAGUUACAAGAAUUACAACCAAGCCACAACAGAAAGACAUUAGCCAAUACCCAAACAAACAAGAGGGUUUGACCACCACUGCUGAGUUCCAAAAACAAAGGUAGCUUUUUUAACUUUAAGUCAACCUAAAGACAACAUCUUAAUCUUAUCUAAUAAACAAGGGAUGGGGGUAACAACAUGAUUAAACAGACGGUUAUUUCGUUCAUUCCACACAACCCAGGCACAAAGAAGCCAAAUAAGUUGCAUAAAAGAACGUCUAGCAACACCACCACCUGUCAAAUGAGUAAACUGUAAAAAAUGAUCGGAAAUAUUAUAUGUGUCCACCCCAUAGCAACCAAUCCAAUCACGCACCAGAUGCCACAGAGAGCCAAAAGUAUUACACAAUAAAAAGAGAUGUUGCACCGAUUCAGGAUGACCACAACCAGUAACACACGAGGACAUGUCAUGCGACAACACCCGUCUAGCAAUCAAAUUAGUCCUUGUUGGUAAACGAUCUCGGAUGAGCCUCCACACGAAAACGAACACCUUCAAGGGAACCUGUUUGUGCCACACCAAAUCCAAAGCAUAGUCCGCUACCUGAGGAACCUGAGAAGUCAACAAACUAUAUGCACCAUGAACAGUGUAACCACCAGAUGGGUCCGGAAGCCACACCCAGCUAUCUGAAACAUUAGGAUCCAAAGAAACAUCAAGAAUUAAAGCCCUGCACUCCUCUAGCAAGUCCUCAUCCCACUGCCAUAACCUACGUCUCCACCUCCACACAUCCCCCCACUGCUCCGAAUCAACAGAAAGCAAGUCCGCCACGAAUAUAGACUUAUUCUCUGUUAACUCAAACAACCGACUAAACCUCACACGAAGAGGAGCCUCCCCUAUCCACCUAUCGAACCAAAAUGAUGUAUCUGCCCCAUCACCAACUCUCCUCAACACCUGAUCCUCAAACCAGCCGCUACCACCAACACCAACCCUACCCCUAAGACGACUCACCUCCGACCACCAACAAGAAACUCUCCGGCCCCCAACCUGCCACCUAAUUCGCCAUAUCUGGCAACUAAAACCCUAUACCACAAAUCACCUCUAUCAACCAACAACCUCCAACACCAUUUCCCUAACAAUGCUAUAUUAAACUCCUUCAAUCUCCUCACCCCCAAACCGCCACACUCCUUUUUUAAACAAACAGUUUGCCAACUUAACCAAGAUAUUUUCCUAUUAUCCUCACUCCCCCCACUGCUCCGAAUCAACAGAAAGCAAGUCCGCCACGAAUAUAGACUUAUUCUCUGUUAACUCAAACAACCGACUAAACCUCACACGAAGAGGAGCCUCCCCUAUCCACCUAUCGAACCAAAAUGAUGUAUCUGCCCCAUCACCAACUCUCCUCAACACCUGAUCCUCAAACCAGCCGCUACCACCAACACCAACCCUACCCCUAAGACGACUCACCUCCGACCACCAACAAGAAACUCUCCGGCCCCCAACCUGCCACCUAAUUCGCCAUAUCUGGCAACUAAAACCCUAUACCACAAAUCACCUCUAUCAACCAACAACCUCCAACACCAUUUCCCUAACAAUGCUAUAUUAAACUCCUUCAAUCUCCUCACCCCCAAACCGCCACACUCCUUUUUUAAACAAACAGUUUGCCAACUUAACCAAGAUAUUUUCCUAUUAUCCUCACUCCCCCCCCCCCCCCAAAAAAAAAAAAAAUUAAUAAACAAAGAUUCAAUAGAGGAGAUUAUACCUGAUGGAGCUUUGAAGAAGGAAAGUGCAUAGACAGGCAAAGAGGUCAGGACAGAUUUGAGAAGAACCAAGCGACCACCAAAAGAUAGAAACCGACUAUUCCAACCUGACAGUCUAGAUUUAAUACGAUUCACAAUAGGUUCCCAGAAACACAAUCUUCGAGGAUUACCACCAAUAGGCAUACCCAGAUACAAGAAAGGAACGUUACCUACUUUACAACUCAACACGGAAGCAGCCUCAUGUAACCAAGACGACGCAAUAUUCACCCCAACAAGCAUACUCUUAUGAAAAUUCACUUUCAACCCCGACAUAGCCUCGAACAACACAAGGGCCGCCCUUAAAGCACGAACAUUAGCCCAACUUUUAGUUCCUAACAACAAAGUGUCAUCAGCAAAUUGGAGGUGAGAUACAACAACCGGAUUAACCACCCCAAUGCUAUAGCCAGAGAACAGUUGAGCCUCAACCAAAGAUUUCAUCACAACAUUAAGACCCUCCGCGGCCAACAAAAACAAAAAAGGAGACAAAGGGUCACCUUGUCUUAACCCUCUCAUCAACGGGAAUUCAUCAGUUGGACUUCCAUUAACUAAGACAGACGCUGUGGCAGUGCUAACACACUCUUUGAUCCAAUUCCUCCAACGGGAAUUCAUCAGUUGGAAUUCAUCUUUAAAAGUUGUUUGACAAAAUAUUGUAUACCAAAUUUUGUUAUAAGAAUAUCAUAUUUUUGGUGUCAUUUAAAAAGAUAAGAAUUUAUAUUAUAUGAUAUUAUAUUUGUUACAUUGUUGGUGUCAUUGAAAAAGAUAUGUUUAGUUUUUUAAUAAGAAAAAGAUAUGCAUAGUUUGUUACAACAUAAAUGUGUAAAGUAUAUAUAAGUAUAAUUUUUUAGGUAUCUAUACUAGUACUUUUAAUUAAAAUCAAAAUUUUAUAAAAAUAAUAAUUGUACGCAUUGCGCAACACUGAAAAAAUUAUACCCAUUAGCAUAACAAAAAAAAACAGACAUACAGACAUAAAAUAUUACUCUAAACGCUAAUGUGUGUGUGUAUAUUUGUGAGGUUGAAAAAAGGGAAUAAAAAUAUUUGGUGUCAUUCAAUGACAGCAUGAAUAAAAAUAUUUGUGAGGUUGUGAUAAUUAAACGAUAUUAAAAUUAAAUAUAUAAGUGAUAAAAAGAUAAUAAAACUCCUUCAAAAAUAGAUAAUUAAAUUGAUCCUCCUUUAAAAAAAAAUUAUAUGGACCGGUUCAAAAAAAAUUAAAUUGAAGAAAAAACAAAUUGAAAUAUAAUAUUAAAAAAUAAAAUAUAAGGUUGCUGCGUGAGUUGAAGAGGAGUGCUUGUGAAAUAAAUUACAAAGAAGUAGUUUUUUGAAGUAGCAUUCAACAACUUUUGGUUAAAGCUCAUUCCAUUCAAAUUUUAUGCAUUCUAAAAAAAGUACUUUUUUUCGAAGGUAUUUUAUUGAUAUUGUGUUUGGCGUAGCUUCUCCUUAAAAAUGUAGAAAAGUUGAAGAAAAAAAAAAAGUCGGGUCAAACAGUACUUUAAUAUACUCAAUUAAAGUUACUAAUGUACUGGCAAGUAACUUUUAGAGGAAGAUUUUCUUUUUUUAAGGAUUUUAGAGGAAGCUUAGCAACACACUUUUAAUAUACAUUUUUCUAGAAUUUUUUUUUAUUGAUUAAAAUUCAUAUAUAUCCUCAUAAAUCAUGUGGAUUUCAUAUAAUAUAAUAGAAGACACAAAUUUUAACCGACAAAUAGAGUGUAAAAAAUAGAGAAAUGAUAUUUGUACAACCACUUUGUGAUAAUUUUUGGACAAUUUUCUCUCUCAUACUCAUAUUAUAUUCUUACUCUCUUCUUUUUUCUCUCUCCAUUAUUUUUGACCAAUGAAAAGAGAGAAAAGAAAGAUUGUCAAAUAGGUUGUACCAAAUGGUUGUUCAAAUAGGUUGUACCAAAUGGUUGUUCAAAUAUCAUUUCUUUAAAAAAUAUAAGCAUUAAAGAGUUUGUUGUUAACAUUAUUUUAAUUUUUUUUAUGUAAUCCACACUUUGAGUCAUGGAGUGCUUUACUAAUUCAUUUUGUUUUUCGCAACCCAAUUCAAGAUUGUCUAGAAACAAAGAGGACUGACCUAAUAAAUAAAUAUUAAAAUAAGCUACUUGAGCUAAACAAUGAGAUUUCCAAACAAGGUAGGUCCUACUCAAGUUCUAUAAAUAGCAUCCCUCACCAUGUCAUAAACCGCAUCACAAGUUAUAUACUAGUUGUAUUUUUAUUAUAUACUUCUCCUUUCAUUUUCUUCUUGCAUAUUAAUCUUCUUUAUCUUAAUAUAUAUCAUGGGUGUUUUUACUUUCAAUGAUGAACAUGUCUCAACCGUGGCUCCAGCUAAACUAUACAAAGCUCUUGCAAAAGAUGCUGAUGAAAUCGUCCCAAAGGUGAUUUCUGCUGCCCAAAGUGUUGAAAUUGUUGAAGGAAAUGGAGGACCAGGAACCAUUAAGAAGUUAUCCAUUGUUGAAGGUAAUUAAGAGCAUAUACGACGUACAAAUAUAUAAUACUUAAGAUCAAAUGAUACAUAGUGUUCACGUAAAAUUGUUUUACACCGACAACCAAUCAAAUUUAUCAGUACAACAAAGAAUUGUGUAACUACCUUUUAUUUAAAAAUUGAUAAAUAUGAUGUGACAAAUUGAAGAGUUGUGAUUGAUUAAAUGAUUCACAAAUAACUAAGUUAAAUUCAUUAUACCAAAUAAAAGUAAGUUAAAUUCAUUAUACCCAAAAAAAAAAAGUAAGUUAAAUUCAAGUGUAUCAAAAAAAGUCAUUCAAAUCUAUUUGGAUAGUUAUGGUAGUAGCCAUUUAUGUUAUACUUUUAUUUUUAAAAUAG